rnacentral:rRNA from 1 species
ACCCUUUAAUGUUUGAUGUUCUAACGUGGACCCGUAAUCCGGGUUGCGGACAGUGUCUGGUGGGUAGUUUGACUGGGGCGGUCUCCUCCCAAAGAGUAACGGAGGAGCACGAAGGUUGGCUAAUCCUGGUCGGACAUCAGGAGGUUAGUGCAAUGGCAUAAGCCAGCUUGACUGCGAGCGUGACGGCGCGAGCAGGUGCGAAAGCAGGUCAUAGUGAUCCGGUGGUUCUGAAUGGAAGGGCCAUCGCUCAACGGAUAAAAGGUACUCCGGGGAUAACAGGCUGAUACCGCCCAAGAGUUCAUAUCGACGGCGGUGUUUGGCACCUCGAUGUCGGCUCAUCACAUCCUGGGGCUGAAGUAGGUCCCAAGGGUAUGGCUGUUCGCCAUUUAAAGUGGUACGCGAGCUGGGUUUAGAACGUCGUGAGACAGUUCGGUCCCUAUCUGCCGUG